UACGUAGGGGCAAGCGUUGUCCGGAAUAAUUGGGCGUAAAGGGCGCGUAGGCGGCUCGGUAAGUCUGGAGUGAAAGUCCUGCUUUUAAGGUGGGAAUUGCUUUGGAUACUGUCGGGCUUGAGUGCAGGAGAGGUUAGUGGAAUUCCCAGUGUAGCGGUGAAAUGCGUAGAGAUUGGGAGGAACACCAGUGGCGAAGGCGACUAACUGGACUGUAACUGACGCUGAGGCGCGAAAGUGUGGGGAGCAAACA
rnacentral:rRNA from 1 species